AGUUCCUUCUCCGAUCGAGGACACGGUGGGGUUAUGUCUGGCGUAGGUAGGUGUUCAGGAUCAUUUAUUUUGAUCAUCAGUAGUUCCCGUCCGUUAUGCGUAGAUCCUCCUCCUCUUAUUUCUCGUACUCGUAAGUUAGCCACUAUAGAUAUAUGCUUAGCCGCUGCUGCAACCUCACCACUUAACCUUACCUCACCCAUUAAGCUUUGCUAGUCUUGAUACCUUUGGAAAUGAGAUUGUUGAGUCCCCUGUGGCUCAGAGAUUACUACAACACCAGUUGCAGGUACAGGUAAAGGUUACUUGACGCGAGCGCGUUGAUUGUUCAUCUGGAGUUGCUUCUUCUUCUUCUUCAUCAUCGAUCUAGGAUGGGUUCCAGGCCGGCAGCCUGGGAUAGCAAGGAUGGACAUCGUUCUUCUUUUCUCGUUUGUUUUCGUCCGUAGUUGGACCCUGCUCGUACUCUUGAUGAUUAUGUAAUGUACUGAUGUGACUCUCAUGUAUCUUGUGGCGAGUGUAAGCCAAUUCUAAAUGUAUAUCUCAUCUUUUCAGUACAUGUACUUGUAACGAUAUCCAUUCUUGCGACACGACGAGAUGCGCUUCUAUCCCUGACGAGGCCUUCGUGCCAAAUUGAGGAUAGGGUCGCAUCUUGGGCGUGACAAGUUGGUAUCAGAGCAGUACCGACCUAGGAGCCCCCUUGAUUGAUCGAACAUGGCCGAGUCGAGUCUAGUGAAAAACUGCUUUGAGUCUAGUUAUAUAUCGGAGAGUACGAUUCUUUUUUCUCCUCUACUAUCCUCUGGUGAGGAAUCUUGACGUAAUAAUUUAAUUCUACUCCUCUUCUCACUCAAAAAAAUUUUAGGAUCACGCGGAUAUUCUUGGGAUCUAUAUGAUGCGGAUGUGACGGAGUUCUGUCUUGGUGCCUCCUAUCUGCUUUGAGUUUCAGGGGAGUUGAGCUCUAGGGGAUUCUCGAGCACAUCGUUAUCAUUCAGAUUUCUUAGUAUCUCAGAACGAAGGAUGUUCGUAAUUGCUUCAAUACUAGUAGUGGCGAGAUAACCCCGAUGUCCCCGGUACUGGUGCAGAUUGUUCGGGAGUACUGCCAUACUUUGUAUCAUUGUGAUCACGAGGGUCUGUUGUAGAUGAAGGUCCGAGAUUCUGGUCAUGUGUUGACGGAUGUGAUACAAGUGACGGGUUAGUAUAGGAGUUGUGUGAUUAUUACUCCUUGUAUCCGUGUACCAGAUUGCAUGACCAGAUAUUUCGGGAAUUCUUAGGUGGGAAUUCAAGUAGUUACUUAUAGGACAAUCUUCCAACAAAUGCAUGAUGUUAGGUUGGGGUUCGACAUCUAGUGGAUUCCUGUCCACGAAAAUAUCGGACGAAAUCUUUCUCAUGAGUUUGUUCUGGCUUGUUUCAUAAGCCUCACCCUUUGUUUGUUGGAAUAUGGUAACUCAAGUUGCUUCGGUGUCAAAUGGUGAUUUCAGAUCUUCUCUAAGAGGUGUUCUCAUAUUUUUAUGUGAGAAUGCAAAUUCUUUUGUUCGUUCAAUUGUCAUAUCAUUUUUGUCAACCGGAGUUGUCAUGUUAAUUCUUUUCCAACCGGCGUGUUUCUCUCCAAGUGGAUUCAAUCUUCUCCAGUUGUUGCAGAUCAUUCUCUCAUUUUAUUCCGGAGUUCAUCUCAUCUGUCCCAUGUUGUCUUUGUUUUUCCCGCCCUCCCACCCUUUUCUUCAGUGACUCAAUUUUCAUCCAAGAGUUUUCUUUUCAUUGUGCUUCCGCUGUGUGUUAUUUUCUCUCUUACCCGGUGAUUCGUUGUGAGGAUUCUCAGGAGCUUCAUGUUCAUCUUUAUGCAUUCUUGUCAUCCUUACCGGUGAAUUCAGUUUGGUUAUCCAUGGUCAUCAUAUCCUUUUCAACCAUUAAAUUCUUUCCGACGUUGGAAAUUCUUUGAGCCUAUCUUGUUACUAAUUCCUCUCUCUUUCUAUGCGGAGUGUUAAAGAUAUUUCAGGUGUUCUGGGUUUCAAUCCUUCAGUUAUUUCGAGGUGCUAACCUCAUCUAGUUUUCUUUUUACCGGUGCAAUAUCUCUCUUUCUAGCAAUUUUUCUAACGGUGGUUUCUUUGAGUGGGCCCAUAACCCACAGGUUCUUUCCCAGGAUCUUUCCUGGCGCUUUUAAUCUUUUCCCGAAGAUCUCUAAUUCUUUCAACUAUGACGUAAGUAUGAAUUUCAUCAGUCAUAUUCUUUCUUCAAGAUCUAUUCGAAUUAAUUCUCAUAUUUGGCUCAACAUUUCAUUCUUCAUUAUUCCGUAGUGUCUCGGUAUUCUUGGUGUUGUUUCUCGUCAUCAUUCUCAGCUUGUAGUCUGAAGGAGUGGUUCUCUCAAAUUUUGGUUCAUUCUCUUGAAGAUUCGUCAUUUCAGCUUCGUGAUAUCAUUUUGAAUUUGUUUUCCAUCAUGAGUAUCCCUUUAUUGCUAUCUGGUGCAUUUCUGAGUUGUUUUCAUUCUCGAUCCUCCGAAGGCCAUCAUUUUAGAAGAUUCUUCGUUCUCAGCUUUCAGCUUUCAUCCUCGAUUCUUCUCAAUUGUUGUCUCUUCGUUCGUCUCUCGAUUAUCCGAUGCCUUGUUCAAGUUUUCUGUUAGGUGGAUCACGAUCUCUUCAUUCUCAUGUAUCUCCAUUAAUUCGUGGUGUUCCCAUUCAAUUGUGAAUUCUUACCGGUGCUUCAUUCAUUUGUGCCUCAAGUGGUGCUUAUCUCUCUAUCUCUUCAAGAUUCUUUCAAGAAGAAUAAGUUGUAUGCUAAAUCCGUUGCUUGUCAUCAAUUAAACUUGAUGAAGGAUAAGCAUAACAUAAUUCUUAUUCUUGUUCAUAGUAAUUUGCAUUCUUCUUCCAGAGUGGCUCAUAUUAUCAAUUCCUUUUUCUCAAGUGUUCUUUUUUUUCCUGGAGUUCCAAGUUUCUCAAGUAUCUCUUCGUGAAGCUUAAUCGAAGUCUUUGCAAGGCUUCAAUCUUAUUCUUUCAUCCUUCUUAUCUUUGCAUCAUCCUUUUGUUACGAAGGCUCGUCAUGGUGGUUCUUCAAGGAUGUGAUUCAUUCUAAAGUGUUCUUCAAGAUUCUUGCUGGAGCACCUCAAAUAUCUUUUCUCUUGCAUUUCUAUGUGCAAUUGUUCUCCUUUAUUCCUUGAGGUGGUAUUAUAGCAUUCUUGUUAGUGUAGGAGCCUCGAAGAGUUUUCCUUUCAAGAAUGAGAUAUUAAACCACAAAUUUUAUGAUCAUGAGAUAUUUUCAACCCAUGAUUUCUUCAUUGAGCUAACUUGGUACGGAUUGUUGCUAUCAUGGUGCUUGUCGUUAAUCCAAGUUCUCAAUGUAUCCUCUUGGUGUAAGGAAUUGUUCAUAUCUUGUUUCUCCCAAUCAUUCAUUGUUUCUUUUAGUGGGUGGUUGUCAUCUCAUAAAUGUGAGAUGAUUUUCAUAAGCCCACUACUAUCUUGUUCUUUUCGUUGUUGUUUUUCCAACAACUCCGUCCAAUUUUUCUUGCAAGCAUGCUUGCCAAGUUCAUUGGAGUUAGUAGUUGUCAUUCUCUCUUCAUUCUCUUCUUCCGUAUGAGCUAGUUCCUAUUCUAUUGUUCCGGAGGCAUUGUGAUGUUGCUCUUUUGGGUCAAUCUUGUUGUUCUAUCAAGAUCAUGGUGUUCCCUUGUUCUAUUUAGUUGUUUGAUAUGUGUAUUGUCUAAUUCUUCCAUCUUAUUGAAUUUUUGUCCCAUUUUCCUACCGAAGUGCUCCCGAAAUUUUCCGUGAAUUAUUGCUUCUUUCCCAUAUCAUUACUCAUCUCUUUGCAACUUUCAAGGAUCGUUGGUUUCACUCGUUUGUCAAAGAAGCGACGAAGUUCUUACCUCUUGUUCUUUCUCAUCCUCUCCCCCUUUCAUUCUUGGAUCUCAGGGCGAGAUCCUCUUGUAGUGUAGGAGAGUUGUGACAGCCCGGUGCCGACGUUCCAGAAGAUUCCCCUUCUAUUCCGUUUUCGUAAUGUGUCUAUUUUCUGUUGUCGCAUCAUCAUCGCAUCAUGCGCAUCAUCUGCAUUGCAUCGGCAUCUCCGUUGCCGCCAGUUUUCAAACUUGCAUCCAUUGUUAGUUGUCGGUUCUCGUCGUUGUCCGUUCUGAGCCCGACCGCACACGCACGCGCCCGCAGCGUCGUCAAAUCCUUGUUUUUAAAAGUGUGCGUAAAACUUUCUCUGAUUGGGUUGAGAUUUGACGUGCGGUCUUAUUUUAAUAUAGGUAGGCUGCCUGUCAAAUUUUGUCGCGAUCGGAGUUCGUCUCGUAACCGAACGGUCGACCGUAGUGGCACCGUAUUCGGUCUAUCGUCGGACGUGUUUCGGUGUUUUAAAAAUACGUUGUCGGGUGGCGUUUUCCCUCUCAUCUCCGCCUAGCCCCUGUGCACACUGCUCCGUCCCUACGCGCAACCCAGUCCGACCCCCCCCCCCGACCCGAAAGUACGCUCGUGACCAUGGGGUCCGGAUCAACCCCGUUUUACCGCAAAUCGUCACCGAUUUGUCAACUAGACUCCCUAAACUAGUCAUUUUGACCGUCCGAUUUAAUCAAAGGGUCCAAAUGCCAAUUAGACCCAACCCUAANCGGUGCCCCGCGCCUCCGACCUUCGGGCAGCGCCAGUGUGCCUCGCCGGGGCUACCUGGUUCUGCCCCGAGCUCGCCCCUCCUCCUCCUGUUGUGCUCCUCCUCGAGCAAGUUGGGGGAUGCAGCAGCGUAGUAGCUUCGUUUGAACCGGGACCUGACGUGACCCAUCACUGCGUGGAUCAAGCAGGAACGGGUCCGGAUCGAAUCCUGCGCCCAGAUCCGCCGCUCGGUCGCCUCAUCUCCGCCCCCAGGCUCGCCGGAGAUCGCGUCAGGCACCCGCAACUCGCGUCCGUCGGCCAUACAGCAAACCAUCGCUGGUUCUGUUUUUCAGUCAGAUCCGCGCUAAGGUAUGGUACAUAUUGCGUGGAUAUCCAUCUUGGAUCGAACUCAUGGCUUAGCUGAGUUGGUCAACCAACAACGCUUCCUAGCAGUAGGUCCUGGGUUCGAGUCUCAACGACCCCAAUUUUGCCUCGUUUUUGUUUUAGUUGCACCCUGCGGUGGGACUUGUUAUCCCAUGUUAGUCUGCUCAAGUAUCAUAAAGAUAGGCCUAGCCUGGUUGGCCAUCAUGGCUUGCCUCCACACACGAGGUCUUGGGUUCAAAUCCACCAGAUUACGCUUCUUUUUUUUUGCACACACACACACUCAGCCCCUCGGGCUUAUUCAAUUAUGGCCUGUUGCACUAUGUUGCAAUUCAGCCCAUAGCUAUUUUUUCGCUGUCUACGUUUUUGCUAUUAACUAGCGAAUUUGCUAGAUUUCACAAAAUAGCAUGUUCUUCAAACGUCCGUAACUUUGUAACCGCUCAAUGGUCCGGAACGAGUUAUAUAUGUAGGACGUGCAAGAUUUUGCGUAGAUUAAUAUUUUCCAACUCUCAUGCAUAAUUAGAACUGUUUAGUGUGUUGUUUACAUUUGUUUUGCGUGUCGAUGUGUUGAAAACGGUUAGGUCGUAACUAUUUGUCCGUAGCUCCGUUGGAGAUGUGCCAUAUGUAAAUGGAGCAGAAUGACAAGUAGAAUCACGUGAACCACUUUGUUUUGCCGUUUAACAAACCUAAAUGUGUUUAGGACAAAUCUGGAAAGAAUUAAGAUUUAACACGUGGGUCAUUUCGGAGAUGCUAUAUGACGUUUCCGGCCUCAUUUAAAAUGCCUAGCUAGGUAGAUUAAUUUGUGCUUCACCCCGUGCCAUGUUAACAAUUUUUUAAUAUUGCCGUGUUAAUAAACAGGAAUGAACUAAAUAAUUAAACGUGGAGCUUCGUCGAUAUACAACUCGUUGCAUAUCGAGCUUCACUUAAUGUGUANNNNNNNNNNNNNNNNNNNNNNNNNNNNNNNNNNNNNNNNNNNNNNNNNNNNNNNNNNNNNNNNNNNNNNNNNNNNNNNNNNNNNNNNNNNNNNNNNNNNNNNNNNNNNNNNNNNNNNNNNNNNNNNNNNNNNNNNNNNNNNNNNNNNNNNNNNNNNNNNNNNNNNNNNNNNNNNNNNNNNNNNNNNNNNNNNNNNNNCAUCAUCUUAGGUUGUGCUGCAUGUCGUGCAUUUGUCGUGGUGAAUAUCUGUGUUGAUGUUUGUUUCCGGUUUGUUUGUCUCAAUAGAGUUUCGCAAGCGUGUCGGAAUGUGAGGACCCGUUCGACUACGUUGGUUCGCCGACUUCACAGAGUUGUUAUUCUUCCAAGCGGGAUCUCAGGCAAGAUGACCAUUUCCCCAGAUACCAUUACUAUCAUUGCCAUGCUAGUUUUACCGCUUCUAUAGAUUAUGUCUCGUUGCCUACCACAUGUUAAAUACCAGCCUCUCAACAAUGCCAUGAUUACCUUCAACCUGUUCGACCUAGCAAACCACUGAUUGGCUAUGUUACCGCUUGCCUAACCAUGUUGUUAGUGUUUCUAGUUGCAGGGUAGUUGCUUCCAUGUGUUAACAUGGGUUCCUUGUUAUAUCACCAUAUUAAAUGCUAUUAAUUUAAUGCACCUAUAUACUUGGUAAAAGGUGGAAGGCUCGACCUUUCUAGCCUGGUGUUUUGUUCCUCCUUUGCCCCCUUAGUUUCGGCUACCGGUGUUAUGUUCCAUAAUUGAGCGCUCCUAACACGUUCGGGGUUGUUAUGGGGAACCCCUUGAUAAUUCGUUUUAGAUUAAAGCUGGUCUAGCAAGGCCCAACUUUGGUACUACAGUUGCCUAAUCACCUAAUAAAAUUGCAUAGGGACUUUCCGGACCCCGAGGAUAAUUUAAUCAACCCCCGGGCCAGUGCUCCUCAUGAGUGUUGGUCCAAACUGGACAGACUGCGGUGCCACCAUGGGGCAACUCGAGGUUUGGUACCUGUAGGCUUUUCCAUCCGUCGUGUCCUGAGAACGAGAUACGCGGCUCCUAUCGGGAUCGUCGACACGUCGGGCGGCCUUGCUGGAUUAGUUUUACCUUUGACGAGAUAUCUUGUGCAUCGGGAUUCCGGUGAUGCUUUGGGUAAUCUCAGAGUUGAGGUUUUCCACUAGGGAAUCCGACGAGAUCGCGAGCUUUCGUGAUUAAGGAUUUCUAUGCGGCUUGUGGUAAUUUGUGAUGGACUAGUUGGAGCACCCCUGCAGGGUUAAAUAUUUUCGAAAAGUCGUGCCCGCGGUUAUGUGGCAACGUGGAAACUUUGUUUAACACUGGUUCUAGAUAACUUGAAGUUAACUUAAUUAAAAUAUGCCAACUGUGUGUGUAACCGUGACUGUCUCUUUCUUGAGUUCCUUCUCCGAUCGAGGACACGGUGGGGUUAUGUCUGGCGUAGGUAGGUGUUCAGGAUCAUUUAUUUUGAUCAUCAGUAGUUCCCGUCCGUUAUGCGUAGAUCCUCCUCCUCUUAUUUCUCGUACUCGUAAGUUAGCCACCAUAAAUAUAUGCUUAGCCGCUGCUGCAACCUCACUACUUAACCUUACCUCACCCAUUAAGCUUUGCUAGUCUUGAUACCUUUGGAAAUGAGAUUGUUGAGUUCCCUGUGGCUCACAGAUUACUACAACACCACUUGCAG
rnacentral:lncRNA from 1 species